AAUAAGCGGAGGAAAAGAAACUAACAAGGAUUCCCCUAGUAGCGGCGAGCGAAGCGGGAAAAGCUCAAAUUUGUAAUCUGGCGUCUACGACGUCCGAGUUGUAAUCUCGAGAAGUGUUUUCCGUGAUAGACCGCAUACAAGUCUCUUGGAACAGAGCGUCAUAGUGGUGAGAACCCAGUACACGAUGCGGAUGCCUAUUACUUUGUGAUACACUUUCGAAGAGUCGAGUUGUUUGGGAAUGCAGCUCAAAUUGGGUGGUAAAUUCCAUCUAAAGCUAAAUAUUGGCGAGAGACCGAUAGCGAACAAGUACCGUGAGGGAAAGAUGAAAAGCACUUUGGAAAGAGAGUUAACAGUACGUGAAAUUGUUGGAAGGGAAACACAUGCAGCCAGACUUGCUAUUCGGGGCAACUCGAUUGGCAGGCCCGCAUCAGUUUUUCGGGGCGGAAAAUCAUAGAGAGAAGGUAGCAAUUUCGGUUGUGUUAUAGCUCUUUAUUGGAUUCGCCCUGGGGGACUGAGGAACGCAGCGUGCUUUUAGCAUAAGCUUCGGCUUAUCCACGCUUAGGAUG
rnacentral:rRNA from 1 species